GCCUUUAAUCCAUCUGGAGUUAAUCUUAGUGUACGGUGUCAGGAAGGGGUCCAGUUUCUGCUUUCUGCACAUGACUAGCCAGUUUUCCCAACACCAUUUAUUAAACAGCGAAUCCUUUUCUAUUGCAUGUUUUUAUCAGGUUUAUGAAAGAUCAUAUGGUUGCAGAGAUGUUGUAUUGCCUCCAA